rnacentral:tRNA from 1 species
AGAGUAACAGUUCAGUGGUAAAACGCGUGCUGAGCAUUCACGAGGUCCUGGGUUCAAUUCCCAGUACCUCCA